GUCUAUGGCUAUACCACCCUGAACGCGCGCGAUCUCGUCUGAUCUUGGAAGCUAAGCAGGGUCGGGCCUGGUUAGUACUUGGAUGGGAGAAUGUCCACUUCUCUGAUAGCUCAUAAAGC
rnacentral:rRNA from 1 species